UCCAGACUCCUACGGGAGGCAGCAGUCGAGAAUCAUUCACAAUGGGGGAAACCCUGAUGGUGCGACGCCGCGUGGGGGAAUGAAGGUCUUCGGAUUGUAAACCCCUGUCAUGUGGGAGCAAAUUAAAAAGAUAGUACCACAAGAGGAAGAGACGGCUAACUCUGUGCCAGCAGCCGCGGUAAUACGGAGGAUGCGAGCGUUAUCCGGAUUUAUUGGGUUUAAAGGGUGCGCAGGCGGAGGUGCAAGUCAGCGGUAAAAUUUCGGGGCUCAACCCCGUCGUGCCGUUGAAACUGGCGUUCUUGAGUGAGCGAGAAGUAUGCGGAAUGCGUGGUGUAGCGGUGAAAUGCAUAGAUAUCACGCAGAACCCCGAUUGCGAAGGCAGCAUACCGGCGCUCAACUGACGCUCAUGCACGAAAGCGUGGGUAUCGAACAGGAUUAGAUACCCGAGUA
rnacentral:rRNA from 1 species